rnacentral:rRNA from 1 species
UACAGAGGGUGCGAGCGUUGUUCGGAAUUAUUGGGCGUAAAGGGCGCGUAGGCUGCGGGGUAAGUCGGGUGUGAAAUCUCAGAGCUCAACUCUGAAACUGCACUCGAUACUGCUCUGCUUGAGGACUGGAGAGGAGAUUGGAAUUCACGGUGUAGCAGUGAAAUGCGUAGAUAUCGUGAGGAAGACCAGUGGCGAAGGCGGAUCUCUGGACAGUUCCUGACGCUGAGGCGCGAAGGCCAGGGGAGCAAACGGG